rnacentral:lncRNA from 1 species
GACAGCAGCGUGGACAGCUGCCCACCCGGCCGGACCCGCAGUUGGGCCGCCCUCGCUGGGCAAUGCUGAGUAAGAGAAAUCAACCAAGAGUGUGAUUUUUGGCAACUGGAGUUGGAUUUGCCAGGAACGCAGCCGAGCUUCUGAGACUGUGCUUCCGGAAACAUCUCUCUUUUUUUUGGCCGCUUUCCAGAGUUCCAACUUGGCAGCCUCAAGGACACAGCCAGGUAUUUUGGAGAUCAAAGAUGGGUAGAAAGGACUCUUCCACUACAAAACUUCCUGUUGAUCAGUACAGAAAGCAAAUUGGUAAACAAGAUUAUAAAAAAACCAAACCUAUUCUACGAGCAACCAAACUAAAAGCAGAAGCGAAGAAAACAGCGAUCGGCAUAAAGGAGGUUGGCCUCAUGCUUGCAGCUAUACUGGCCCUCUUACUGGCUUUCUAUGCUUUCUUUUACCUCCGACUGUCCACGAAUAUCGACGCUGAUCUGGACCCAGAUGAAGACUAGCUGAGCAGGAAUCAGAAAAGGAAAAGAACUAAGUCUGAUAUGAGCAUCUCUGGGGACAAAUACGUUGCAAUUUCCAACACUAGAACAGUUCGAAAAUUUGCUUCUUGGUACUGUCAGUCAGUUUGCAGAAUUAUCUUUGUGCUUAAUGGCAUAGGGUAUCAGAAAAAAGACUUUACCCAGCAAUCCAGGAUCAUGUAUCUAUUUGAUACUUUAUAAAUCUCUCUGCCCUGGCAGAUAUCCUCUUCAGGGUACCGUUUAACAAGAUGGAAACAUUUUUUUUUCAGAUUUCUUUCCAAUUUACAUGUACAACUCCAUCGGUUACAAGUCACUAAACCUAUUAUAUCCUAUGUAUAUUGUGAGAAAAUUAUAU